UGAGUACUACACAGGGUGCCAGG
rnacentral:piRNA from 1 species